rnacentral:tRNA from 1 species
GGGCGCAUAGCUCAGUUGGUCAGAGCAUUCGGCUUACAACCGAAAGGUCACUGGUUCGAGUCCAGUUGCGCCCA